UACUUUUCACAACUCAGUAUGGUUUUUCUUAUCGAAAUACCAUACCUACUUUUCACACUUUGCCAUGGAUCCACCAUGGACUUAUCCGUCAAUUCAUCACUGGUUACUGAACGUAUGUACUCAAUCCUGCGUAUCUCUUAAUUUAAACUAACAAUCUCAUUUCAUUCUCAUUUUUACCAAAAUCGUAAUUCAACAAUAAUAUACAGAUUGAUACAUUAUAUCAUUUCCACAUUAACAAUUAAUCAUAAAAAUUCAGCCAUAUGAACUUGCCUGGGCCAAUUUGCAGGAGUUGUAAAAGUUCAGAAACUAGUUCAAUACUUUCUCUUUUCCGCGUUUAUCUUUGGAUUCCCGAUCUAUAAUAUAAAAUUUUCCAUUCAUUAGCAUCUAAUUCAAUACUAAUUUACUUCACAAUUUAUGCCUUUCAAUUUUUGAAAUUACACUUUACCCCCAAAAUUUACAAUUUUUACAAUUUGGUCCUUACUCAAUUAACCCUUCAAUUGAUCUAAUUUUUCUCAAUUAACACCUUAUCCAACCAUUUUAGACUAAUAAACAGCCUUUGAUAUUCAUAAUUUCAGUACAAACCCCAAUUCCUAACUUUUUUUCACAAUUAGGUCCUAAAAAUCAUUUUCUACUAAAAUCACUUAAUAAGAUUGUAAUAUAAUGAAAUUAAAACUUAAAAUCUAUAAUAAUUCAUCAUAAAAUUCCAGAACUUAUUCAUGGUAACUUAAAAAAUCACCCAUGGUGUAACACCCCUUACCCGUAUUCGAUGUCGGAAUAGGGUACGAUGUAUUACCAGAACAUAUACACUUUUAACCAUAUUAAACCGAGAUGUAAAAUUUCAUCUAAACUAAAACUUUCAAAUUGUUAUUCUUAAUUCGCUAAUUAGGGUUUACAUAGCCCAAUAUACUCACAAUCUUUCAUUUCCUUGUCGUAUGAAUUUAAAAAUUUCCAUUUAUUUAUUGAAUUCAUCACGAGUACCUGAAUUGAUCCGUAUCAUUACAUAUUCUCAUGUCGUCACAUUUUCCUAUUUAACUAUUGUAAUAUAUCAAAGUGUCACAUAUACAUUAUCCAUUCAUCUCCCAUACAACUAUCAAUAUUAGCCACAAAGAUGGAACAAAUUUUCUCUAUUCGAUGUUAAAUCAAAACAUGUUACUUCAUUACCAACUACCCUUACUAAAUAUACACCUUAAAUUAGCCCAAGUGUUUAACCAUUCACCCAUGACAUAAAUAUAUUUUAUCUAUUAUUGCAGAAUAUAGAUGUGCUACCCAAAUCAUAAUUCACCUCACAUAGUAACUGAGUUAAUUUUUAUCAUUUGUCAAAUAAAUUACAAAACAAAUUAUAUAACAAAAUAUAGAUACAUUUUAAACCUCACCAAUAAACAAAUUCUCAUGGCAUUAAAUAAUUAUCAUGCAUCAAAUACAAAUGUAUUUGAUAUUUCUAUCACAUAAACCAGAUUAAUCAAUGCAACCUCAAUGAUGUAAUCAUCCUUUUAACUUACUUAACCAAGCCAAAUUAUACCAUCAUCUCACACAUAGAAUGACCCACCUAUCAUACUUCUCAAUUAUGUCACUUAAUAGACCAAAUAUACCUAACAUUUAUCAUCAUGAUCAAUCCACAACCAAAAUACAUCCAUAUAUCUAAAUUACCACACACACAUAUAUAUACCAUACACACAUACUAUAAAACUUUAUUUUCCCCAUGAGCUUAAAUCAUGACCAAUAAUGCACAAAUAUAAGUAUCAUUUCUAUUUCAUCAUUUAUCAAUUAUAAUCGAACAUAUGACCAAUUAUAGACAAAUCAUUUAUAUAUUCUCUAAUUUUCCUCCUCCUCCUCUCCAUUCCACAUCCUUAAUGUGUAUAAUACAUUUAAGCAACAUUUUCCAUACUAUCACUAUUUUCCUGUAUGUAAAUUCAAGCUGUCUAUCUGAGUCAGAGUCACUAAUUUAUUUAUAUCUCAAUCUGCAUAGCUCCAAAUUAAGGUCUGUUAAUUUUUUCUGAAACUAGACUCACAUAUCUUUUCACCAUAAAAUUUUUAGAAUUUUUGGUUUAGCUAAUAAGUACAGUUUAUUCUUUAAAGUUUCCCCUGCUGCACUGCUCGACACUUCUGACCUCUCUUCACUAAAAAUUGAUUAUCUCAUUGUACAUAAUUUGGAUGGUAUUCCCAUUUAUUUAUAAUGAAAAUAGACUCGUUUAGGAUUCUAAAACUAUAAGUUUUAACCCCUAAUUAAUUUUUUACAAUUUUUAAUGAUUUUCCAAAGUCAGAACAGGGGAUUCCAAAAUUAUUCUGACUCUGCAUCACAAAAUUUAUUAUAUCUCAUGAUUUACAAUUCCAUUGCUUACACCGUUUCUUCUAUGAGAAACUAGACUCGAUAAGCUUUAAUUUCAUAUUUUAUUCAUAUUCUAAUUCGAUUCCCACGAUUUUUGGUGAUUUUUCAAAGUUGGCACACUGCUGCUGCCCAAAACUGUUUUAGUGCAACAUUUUAAUUACCAUUUUGACCCUAAACUUUUAACACAUGACAAUUUCAUCCCUAGGCUCGGAAAAUGAAAUUCUUGCAAUUCAACCCUUGAUCCAAGCCUAAUAGUUCUCAUACAUAUCAAUAACAGCCCAUGGAUUCCAUGAAAUUUUAGAAUUUCUCCACAAUUUCAAUACUUUUCAAGUUAAUCCCUAAAACAUGUUUUCAUCCAAAAUUCUUUAAUAAAACACCUUUAAACAUCCAUUAAGAUCUCAAUUUCAUCAUAAAAUAACAAAAAUCAUAUGAACUUAUCAUUUUUAUCUUCCAAAACCUUCAACAAAAUGAGAAACUAGUAGAAUACUAAGUUGGAUCUAAUUGUAAAAGUCUAAAAAUAUAAAAAUUUCAAGGAAAAAGCAAGAAUUAAACUUACUUGAAGCCAAAAUAUGGAAUACCAGCUCCAAACCCUCUGCCAUGGCUGUUUCCCA
rnacentral:lncRNA from 1 species